CAGUGUUUGUGUCUUGUGCAUAACAACAACACAGGAUGUAAAAUAAUAAAAGUCGGUUGUUUUUCUGAUUAUUUCCCUCUUGAACCAUAAGCAUGAUGAAUUAAACAGCUUUUGCGCAUGAUUUACCUCAUGAUCAAAUAAUACACAAGCUUUAUUUGAGGUUCAAUGGUCCAGCGAACAAAGAUCGUCUUGCCUGCCUAUAAAGGUUAAAUUAGCGAUCAAACGUUAGUUACGUUGCUUUUAACAUCAUUUAGGUGAGCUAACAUAGUGUGAAAACCAACGUCGUUAUGUGCAGUCGUUAGCUAUUUCAGAUACUUGACAUAUGCUUCAGAUUAUUACAGGGUAGCAGCGUACAUUGAGGUACGUUACACUGCAGGCCGCAGAUCCAUCAUUUAGCCGGCUAGCUAGAAGCUAACGUUAGCUUCACUUGUAGUGGGAUACCCAAGGUCUUCAAAUGUCAACCUGGGUGUGCUGUAACUCCUGCUUCCGUCCCUACAAUGCUGACCGAAAUCUGGCUGUCACAGACUGUGGCCAUAUCAUCUGUAACGUCUGUUAUCAGAGAGGUAGACAAAAGAAAUUAGAAUAUAAACAACAGUCAAAACAAUCACUUUUAGGAGUGUUGUGCUGUGUUGAGGAUGUAUUGUGAAGUUCAGUACCAGACCUUCACCUCAGUCGUACUAUGCCUCCAGCCUCAGUCAAGGGCAAGCGUGAUUACAUAGGGACAUCUGUUGGAUUUGAAGGGUUAUUGCACAGCUGAUGACUCAGUUUUGACACCGGGUGUGCUCAAGCCAGGAGGUUCUAAAUAAGCUUUUCUAUGCUUAAGUCCUCUCAAAACACACAAAUUAGUUCUCCUCUAAAUAAACUUUCCCAGAGGAAACCACAUUCAGUGUUUGAUGUUACGCUGGUUUUGAUGUUGUUCUUGGCCAUUGUUAUGUUACAGUGGAGGGAGUGAAACCUCCGAUCCACUCGUGUUCUGACAGUGAGUACUUCUCAUUAUACCCUCAGAUGAAAUAAGAGUGAAAUUUCACAAAUUGACAUUGGAUAAGGGACCUCCUGAGGUACUCCUGGGGGUCUCUCAGUCCCCCUUUGAGAGACACUGAACGUAUUCACAAGCCGCGGGUUUAUUCCCAAUAAGUGUAAUCUCAUUAAAAACUCUAUAAGGUUCAGUUAUAUUUUAAUUUACUCUGGCAUGCAGGGUUAGACCCAGUGGUCACAGUUCAGUAAUUCUGGAUCUUGCCUAUAAGCACUAUGAGAAUCCCUUUUUCUUCAGUUGCUGUAUUGGGUUCAGAGCCUACAUAUCUUUUAUUCAGUGUGAGCCUAAAAAGACCAUGCAUUUAUUUUGCUGCUUUGCAAUUGUGUCAGUAUGAAAUUGCAUGUUUUCAGGCAAACCAGAUGAAUGUCUAAUAUGCUACGCCCAAUGCCAAAUAGCUCUUCUGUCUGACGAAGUAAGCAUUUUUCUUUUCAUUGAAUAGAAAUCCUUUGGUGGGAUAAUCACACAAAUAAUCAGACUUUAUAUAAUUUUAUGGUCCUGCUGUUAUUACAGUCACGUGAAAUGUUUCUUUUCUAUUUUUUCAGAGCAACUCACAAGUGAAGGCUAUGUUCACAGACAUCAGCGUUCUGGCAUCCAAACACUUGGCAGAAAUCAGCAAAGUUCUCGAUUUCCAGGCACACCAUCAAAAGAGACUGACAAACUAUUACCAAGAAAGGAGUGGGAAACAAGAUGAGGUUUUAGUCCAGAUGAGGGAGGAAAGGCAGCACAUGACAGCGAUGCUCAAUGAGCAGAGUGCCUACAUUACUAAACUGGAAAACUCUCUUCAGCAACAGAGGUACAGCAUUUCCGUUCAAAGAUAAACAUGUCAGAUGUAGACAUACAUGCUGGUGUUAUGAUAAUGUCAUCCUUGGUUUUUACUGAGUAUCGUUUGUGCAUUACAGUUUUGUUGUUUUGAUGUUUUUUGGGCUGUCUGUUUGCUUGUAAAUUCGAUCUUUCACUGGCACAUUUGUCAAACUGUCCUAAUCUGUGCAAAUUUGAACUGUUCCAAAAACCUAACCGUCCUGAAGCAUUUAGCUCACGCCUCUUUCAUUCUUUGUAUCAUAUCUUAUACUGUGUGGCCAUGCAUCAGUGAUCAUGAUGCUCAUGAAAUAAAAGACUAGUAGUAAAAGCUGUAGUGAUUUUGAAAUAAAUGUCGGUGGUGUGUGCCUCUUUGGAUUCGGCAGCGCCUUAGCAUAUAAAGUUAUUGAGGACCAAGCUGGCUGUUAUGCCUCACCUCUCACUAGGUGUCACUCCUGGCCUGUUACAGCCACAAACACGACUGCAAGAUUGUUUGUCUUGCUUGAGCACACCUUGAAGGAGAAAGGUUCACCCACACUCUCAAUAUGUUCUAAGCAGCUGUGACUGUUUUGUUGGAACUAAUUAAUCUUCUUACU